GGCUCAGAACGAACGCUGGCGACGCGUCUUAAGCAUGCAAGUCGAACGGCAAGAGGUAGCAAUACCUCCUAGAGUGGCGGACUGGUGAGUAACACGUGGGUGACAUACCCUUCAGAUGGGGAUAGCUAUUAGAAAUAGUAGAUAAUACCGAAUACGAGCACAGGGGUUAGAGAUCUGUGAGGAAAGGAGCUAAGGCUCCGCUGAAGGAAUGGCCUGCGGCCCAUUAGCUAGUUGGUGAGGUAAGAGCCCACCAAGGCGAUGAUGGGUAUCCGGCCUUAGAGGGUGAACGGACACAUUGGGACUGAGAUACGGCCCAGACUCCUACGGGAGGCAGCAGCUAAGAAUAUUCCGCAAUGGACGAAAGUCUGACGGAGCGACGCCGCGUGGAUGAAGAAAAGGCCGGAAGGUUGUAAAAUCCUUUUGAAACUGAAGAAUAAGCGUUGUAGGGAAUGACAUCAUGAUGACAUUAGUCGGUGAAUAAGCCCCGGCUAACUACGUGCCAGCCGCAGC
rnacentral:rRNA from 1 species